GUCCACGCUGUAAACGAUGGGUGCUGGACGUUGGUGGGUUUACCUGCCGGUGUCGCAGCUAACGCGUUAAGCACCCCGCCUGGGGAGUACGGUCGCAAGAUUAAAACUCAAAGGAAUUGACGGGGCCCGCACAAGCGGUGGAGCAUGUGGUUUAAUUCGACGCAACGCGAAGAACCUUACCAGCUCUUGACAUGGGAAGUAUGGGCCCUGGCGACGGGGUCCUUCAGUUCGGCUGGCUUCCACACAGGUGCUGCAUGGCUGUCGU
rnacentral:rRNA from 1 species